rnacentral:rRNA from 1 species
AGUGAACGCUGGCGGUAGGCCUAACACAUGCAAGUCGAACGGCAGCACAGUAAGAGCUUGCUCUUACGGGUGGCGAGUGGCGGACGGGUGAGGAAUACAUCGGAAUCUACUUUUUCGUGGGGGAUAACGUAGGGAAACUUACGCUAAUACCGCAUACGACCUACGGGUGAAAGCAGGGGAUCUUCGGACCUUGCGCGAUUGAAUGAGCCGAUGUCGGAUUAGCUAGUUGGCGGGGUAAAGGCCCACCAAGGCGACGAUCCGUAGCUGGUCUGAGAGGAUGAUCAGCCACACUGGAACUGAGACAGGGUCCAGACUCCUACGGGAGGCAGCAGUGGGGAAUAUUGGACAAUGGGCGCAAGCCUGAUCCAGCCAUACCGCGUGAGUGAAGAAGGCCUUCGGGUUGUAAAGCCCUUUUGUUGGGAAAGUAAAGCAGCAGGUUAAUACCCCGCUGUUCUGACGGUACCCAAAGAAUAAGCACCGGCUAACUUCGUG